rnacentral:tRNA from 1 species
GAGGUCGGUAACCGAGUGGUGGAACGGUCUUGAAAACCGUCAGGCGUGUAAAAGCGUGCGUGGGUUCGAAUCCCACAUCCUCC